UGCAAACUGCGAAUACCGGAGAAUGUUAUCACGGGAGACACACGGCGGGUGCUAACGUCCGUCGUGAAGAGGGAAACAACCCAGACCGCCAGCUAAGGUCCCAAAGUCAUGGUUAAGUGGGAAACGAUGUGGGAAGGCCCAGACAGCCAGGAUGUUGGCUUAGAAGCAGCCAUCAUUUAAAGAAAGCGUAAUAGCUCACUGGUCGAGUCGGCCUGCGCGGAAGAUGUAACGGGGCUAAACCAUGCACCGAAGCUGCGGCAGCGACACUAUGUGUUGUUGGGUAGGGGAGCG
rnacentral:rRNA from 1 species